rnacentral:rRNA from 1 species
CCCUUAGAUGUCCUGGGCCGCACGCGCGCUACACUGAUGCAUGCAACGAGUUUAUAACCUUGGCCUGAAAGGUCUGGGUAAUCUUUUGAACGUGCAUCGUGAUAGGGAUAGAUUAUUGCAAUUGUUAAUCUUGAACGAGGAAUUCCUAGUAAACGCGAGUCAUCAGCUCGCAUUGAUUACGUCCCUGCCCUUUGUACACACCGCCCGACGCACCUACCGAUUGAAUGGUUCGGUGAAGAUCUCGGACUUCGAUAUUUAUUCUUUAUUGAGUUUAUAUUGUGGGAAGUUAUCUAAACCUCAUCAUUUAGAGGAAGGUGAAGUCGUAACA